rnacentral:tRNA from 1 species
GCGGCGGGGUGCUGCACGUGGUCGGCAGGUCCGACCUGCCCCGGCGGGGCGCGCGGCCCGGUCGGUUCAGCCCGACCCGGCUCUG